rnacentral:ncRNA from 2 species
UCCUUAUCAAGAGUGGUGGAGGGACUGGCCCUAUGAAGCCCGGCAACCGGCAGCAGCUAAUCCUGCUGUAAAGGUGCCAAAUCCUGCAGAAGUGUAUUACUUCUGACAGAUAAGGA